rnacentral:rRNA from 14 species
ACCCAUGGCCAUACCAGCAUGAGAAUGCUGUGUUUCAUCUGAUCUCGAAAGUUAAGCAGGGUUGGGCUUGGGUCUUGUCUAAGAUUAAAAGGCGAUAUGAGAG